rnacentral:rRNA from 1 species
CGCUAGCUACAGGCUUAACACAUGCAAGUCGAGGGAACGACAUCGAAAGCUUUGCCGUUUUUGACGUGGGCCGUCGACCGGCGCACGGGUGAGUAACGCGUAUCCAACCUGCCCACCACUUGGGGAUAACCUUGCGAAAGUAAGACUAAUACCCAAUGAUAUCUCUAGAAGACAUCUGAAAGAGAUUAAAGAUUUANCGGUGAUGGAUGGGGAUGCGUCUGAUUAGCUUGUUGGCGGGUAACGCCCACCAAGGCGACGAUCAGUAGGGGUUCUGAGAGAAGGUCCCCCACAUUGGAACUGAGACACGGUCCAAACUCCUACGGGAGGCAGCAGUGAGGAAUAUUGGUCAAUGGGCGAGAGCCUGAACCAGCCAAGUAGCGUGCAGGAUGACGGCCCUAUGGGUUGUAAACUGCUUUUAUAAGGGAAUAAAGUGAGCCUCGUGAGGCUUUUUGCAUGUACCUUAUGAAUAAGGACCGGCUAAUUCCGUG